GACAGAGGGUGCUAGCGUUGUUCGGAAUGACUGGGCGUAAAGGGCGCGUAGGCGGCUUAUUUAGUCAGGCGUGAAAGCCCCGGGCUUAACCUGGGAACUGCGCUUGAUACUGGUAGGCUAGAGUUCGGAAGAGGAAGGUGGAAUCCCUAGUGUAGAGGUGAAAUUCGUAGAUAUUAGGAGGAACAUCUGAGGCGAAGGCGGCCUUCUGGUCCGCAACUGACGCUGAGGCGCGAAAGCGUGGGGAGCAAACAGGAUUAGAUACCCUGGUAGUCCACGCUGUAAACGAUGAGUGCUAGACGUUGGGGGGGUAACCCUUCGGUGUCGCAGCUAACGCAUUAAGCACUCCGCCUGGGGAGUACGGUCGCAAGAUUAAA
rnacentral:rRNA from 1 species